AUUAACACGUAUAAGAGGUCCAGCCUGCCCAGUGACUAUAUGUUCAACGGCCGCGGUAUUCUGACCGUGCAAAGGUAGCGUAAUCACUUGUCUUUUAAAUAAAGACUGGUAUGAAUGGCAUCACGAAGGUUCAACUGUCUCCUGCAUCCUAUCCAUAAAACUGACCUCCCCGUGCAGAGGCGGGGAUACAACCAUAAGACGAGAAGACCCUAUGGAGCUUCAAACUAAAGGCAACUGCCAACUAUUAUUUAACCACCAGGGAUUAACAAAUAAACAAGCAUGUAUGACCUAAAGUUUUCGGUUGGGGCGACCACGGAGGAAAAAAAAUCCUCCUUGAUGAAUAGGACAUUUAAUCCUUAACCAAGAAUAACAAUUCUAAGUAACAAAAUUUUAGACUAUAAUUGAUCCAGUCUAACUGAUCAACGAACCAAGUUACCCUAGGGAUAACAGCGCAAUCCAUUUCAAAAGUUCUUAUCGACAAAUGGGUUUACGACCUCGAUGUUGGAUCAGGGCAUCCCAGUGGUGCAGCCGCUACUAAAGGUUCGUUUGUUCAACGAUUAAAGCC
rnacentral:rRNA from 1 species